ACGCUCGACACCUACGGGAGGCAGCAGUGGGAAUAUUGCACAAUGGGGGAAACCCUGAUGCAGCGACGCCGCGUGAGUGAAGAAGUAUUUCGGUAUGUAAAGCUCUAUCAGCAGGGAAGAAGAUGACGGUACCUGAGUAAGAAGCCCCGGCUAACUACGUGCCACAGCCGCGGUAAUCUGAGCGGCUGGCAAGGC
rnacentral:rRNA from 1 species